GGCUUAGUGGUCUAGUGGUAUGAUUCCUGCUUCGGGCUUCACGAAAAUCCCUUCCGUCUUACACGGGAAUGCAGGAGGCCCCGGGUUCGAAUCCCGGCUGAGCCC